rnacentral:rRNA from 1 species
AUACGGAGGAUGCAAGCGUUAUCCGGAUUUACUGGGUUUAAAGGGUGCGUAGGCGGAUUGAUAAGUCAGUUGGUGAAAUCCUGCAGCUUAACUGCAGAACUGCCAUUGAUACUGUUAGUCUGGAGUAUGGUUGAGGUAGCUGGAAUGUGUCAUGUAGCGGUGAAAUGCUUAGAGAUGACACAGAACACCGACGGCGAAGGCAGGUUACCAACCCAUUACUGACGCUGAGGCACGAAAGCGUGGGGAUC